CACCGGCGGCUCGAGUGGUAACCGUUAUUAUUGGGUCUAAAGGGUCUGUAGCCGGCCGGAUAAGUCUCUUGGGAAAUCUGGCAGCUCAACUGUCAGGCUAUCAGGAGAUACUGUCUGGCUCGAGGCCGGGAGAGGUGAGAGGUACUUCAGGGGUAGGGGUGAAAUCUUGUAAUCCUUGAAGGACCACCAGUGGCGAAGGCGUCUCACCAGAACGGACCUGACGGCAAGGGACGAAAGCUAGGGGCACGAACCGGAUUAGAUCCCCGGGUAGGCCUAGCCGUAAACGAUACUCGCUAGGUGUCGGCCACGGUGCGACCGUGGUCGGUGCCGUAGGGAAGCCGUGAAGCGAGCCACCUGGGAAGUACGGCCGCAAGGCUGAA
rnacentral:rRNA from 1 species